UCCGGUCCUGCUGAUCUCUGGAGGACAGGUACAGACAGCACUAGCUCAUGCACGAGUCAUUCAAGGGAGGUAGGCAUUUUCUCAAAGCAACUCCCUCUCCAGGCAUUUUAGGGAAGAAGGAAAACAGUCUUGGCUCACUCACACUUCUCUUUGUUGGAGGCUCCUUCCUAACGAGGCACAUUUGGGGCUUGCUUCUGGGAUAUGUAUUUUUAAAGUUCUCAGCAGUCAGCCUGAUUGCUGCUCUCCUCAACCCAGCAGUGCCAGAGCUUUCCAACACACAGACGUGAAGCAGCACACUGGGAGCCACUAGGACUCAGCAAGCGCAUGUAUAAGCAUGACCAUCAGCGACACUGAGGAAGAGACUGAAAACCCAGACUGCAGGACUACAAAGCACAGAACACAGGGAUACUUAGAGCAAAUGGUCUCUCCUACCUGCCCCAACUGGCCCUGAGGGCAUAAAUGUAUUAUGACAUUAAAUAAUAAUGAAUAUUCAUCAU